rnacentral:rRNA from 1 species
GAGAUAACUCCUACGGGAGGCAGCAGUAGGGAAUCUUCGGCAAUGGACGGAAGUCUGACCGAGCAAUGCCGCGCGAGUGAAGAAGGUUUUCGGAUCGUAAAGCUCUGUUGUAAGAGAAGAACGAGUGUGAGAGUGGAAAGUUCACACUGUGACGGUAUCUUACCAGAAAGGGACGGCUAACUACGUGCCAGCAGCCGCGGUAAUACGUAGGUCCCGAGCGUUGUCCGGAUUUAUUGGGCGUAAAGCGAGCGCAGGCGGUUAGAUAAGUCUGAAGUUAAGGGCUGUGGCUUAACCAUAGUACGCUUUGGAAGCUGUUUUACUUGAGUGCAAGAGGGGAGAGUAGAAUUGCAUGUGUAGCGGUGAAAUGCGUAGAUAUAUGGAGGAACACCGGUGGCGAAAGCGGCUCUCUGGCUUGUAACUGACGCUGAGGCUCGAAAGCGUGGGGAGCAGACAGGAUUAGAUACCCGAGUAGUCCUCCACU